UCCUUUCGGGGCACAAGGCCACCGUACCGGGCAUAUAAGGGAGGAAAACCCCCCGCCCACCAAACUUUCCGCAUCCAAAAACACGAGCAAUGGACAUAUGGGCCAACGCAACCAGUUCGUGGCAUGCGCGGGACAAAUGCACCGCUACGAGGUCGGCCCCGUGCCGUGACAGGCAAAGGGCGAAGGGGAACAAGGGUCGUAUUCGAUUUCCACCGUAGUGGGUAAGCAGCACAGGAACCUAUCCUC
rnacentral:misc_RNA from 1 species